CGUAGGGGGCUAGCGUUGUCCGGAUUUAUUGGGCGUAAAGAGCGUGUAGGCGGUCAGGUAGGUCGGUUGUGAAAACUGGAGGCUCAACCUUCAGAGGUCGACCGAAACCCCCUGGCUAGAGUCCGGGAGAGGAGAGUGGAAUUCCUGGUGUAGCGGUGAAAUGCGCAGAUAUCAGGAAGAACACCCGUGGCGAAAGCGGCUCUCUGGAACGGUACUGACGCUGAGACGCGGAAGCGUGGGGAGCGAACAGGAUUAGAUACCCUGGUAGUCCACGCCGUAAACGAUGGGCGCUAGGUGUGGGAGGUGUCGACUCCUUCCGUGCCGAAGCUAACGCAUUAAGCGCCCCGCCUGGGGAGUACGGCCGCAAGGCUA
rnacentral:rRNA from 1 species